AACCAUAAGUAAAUAUUUUUGGCGAUUUCUGCUCAAUGACUUUUAAAUAGCCGCAGUACUUUGACUGUGCAAAGGUAGCAUAAUAAUUUGGCUUUUAAUUGAAGUCUGGUAUGAAUGAAAAAAUGGGGAAAUGCUCUAUCAAUUAAAUAAUUUUAACUUAAUUAAAAGGUGAAAAUGCCUUUGGUUAAAUAAUAGACGAGAAGACCCUUGAAAUUUGAAAAAUAAUUUUGUUGGGGCGACAGAGUAGCAUAAUAAACCUACUUUUACAAUAUGUAUUAAUAUUUAAAGCAAGAGGAAAUUACUCAAGGGAUAACAGCAUAAUUAAUAAUAGUUUGUGACCUCGAUGUUGGAUUAGGAAUCUCUAGCCCAGAAAGUAAGAUAAGAUUUCUGCUCUGUUCGAGCAGUUUUUCCUACGUGAUCUGGUCCCACAACCCGGA
rnacentral:rRNA from 1 species